rnacentral:rRNA from 1 species
CAGCGGCGGACGGGUGAGUAAUGCCUAGGAAUCUGCCUGGUAGUGGGGGAUAACGUCCGGAAACGGGCGCUAAUACCGCAUACGUCCUGAGGGAGAAAGUGGGGGAUCUUCGGACCUCACGCUAUCAGAUGAGCCUAGGUCGGAUUAGCUAGUUGGUGGGGUAAAGGCCUACCAAGGCGACGAUCCGUAACUGGUCUGAGAGGAUGAUCAGUCACACUGGAACUGAGACACGGUCCAGACUCCUACGGGAGGCAGCAGUGGGGAAUAUUGGACAAUGGGCGAAAGCCUGAUCCAGCCAUGCCGCGUGUGUGAAGAAGGUCUUCGGAUUGUAAAGCACUUUAAGUUGGGAGGAAGGGCAGUAAGUUAAUACCUUGCUGUUUUGACGUUACCUACAGAAUAAGCACCGGCUAACUUCGUGCCAGCAGCCGCGGUAAUACGAAGGGUGCAAGCGUUAAUCGGAAUUACUGGGCGUAAAGCGCGCGUAGGUGGUUCAGCAAGUUGGAUGUGAAAUCCCCGGGCUCAACCUGGGAACUGCAUCCAAAACUACUGAGCUAGAGUACGGUAGAGGGUGGUGGAAUUUCCUGUGUAGCGGUGAAAUGCGUAGAUAUAGGAAGGAACACCAGUGGCGAAAGCAGACCACCUGGACUGAUACUGACACUGAUGCUGCGAAAGCGUGGGGGAGCAAACAGGAUUAGAUACCCUGGUA